rnacentral:sRNA from 1 species
UUAUUUAUUGUUUACGCUAGGUUGUUGGGGGAGUCAUAUGUUAUGGCGCAAAAUAUAUUGUUAACUGUCAAUUUAUCUUAUUCUCGUCUUUGUUGUAGUCUGACGCGGAGAUUGCAGACAACACCGCCACAGUCGUGGAUGUCCAGGUUAGUUCUGUUUUGGUAAUAAAUAUAUA